GAGGCGGGACUUCCGCUUGCCCGCUGUUGUGGUCCCUUCUCCGACUUGCUUGGGUAGGGGCUCAGUGCGGAUACUCAGUCAUGAAGUCCGGGUAGCGACUUCUCUUGGGUGGCCGUGAGCCUAGGUUCCGGGGGCGGACUUCAGGUGAUUCACAAGAUGCUGCUCUCCAUUGGGAUGCUCAUGCUGUCCGCCACACAGGUCUACACCAUCUUGACUGUGCAGCUCUUUGCAUUCCUAAACCUGCUGCCUGUAGAAGCAGACAUUUUAGCAUAUAAUUUUGAAAAUGCAUCUCAGACAUUUGAGGACCUUCCAGCAAGAUUUGGUUAUAGACUACCAGCUGAAGGCUUAAAGGGUUUUCUGAUUAACUCAAAACCAGAGAAUGCGUGUGAACCCAUAGUGCCUCCACCACUGAAAGACAAUUCUUCCGGCACGUUCAUCGUGCUGAUUAGAAGACUUGAUUGCAAUUUUGAUAUAAAGGUUUUAAAUGCACAGAGAGCAGGAUACAAAGCAGCCAUAGUUCACAAUGUAGACUCUGAUGACCUGAUUAGCAUGGGAUCCAACGACAAUCAGCGCCUUGCUCAGCCAUCAUCAGAGGAGCUUCCUCCUGCAGCAGAUGGGAACAGAUACAGAGACCCACAGCUACUAUGCAGACGUUGAAAGACUUUGGAACACAUCCUUAAAUAAGCUGUCCCCAUCAAAUUCUUCCCACCAAAAGAUUGUUUUUAUUUGGGUUUCUGGUUACUUUAUUUCCAUACCUGAAUAGUGGGUAAUUUUUUAAAAUUCUUUUUUGGUGGCAUUUUAUUUUUGUUUUAAAUACGUAUGUCAGGGUCAGGUUUCUUGGGACCUCUAGGAGGAACAUGAACUCCCUAGCUCCUUGUCUUAUGCCGGGCAAUCUGCCACCAUUUCCCUUGAGAGGCAGAAGUAUGGUGUUGCCCGUUAAACUUCCCUGAGUGGAGACAUCUUACUCUGGUGGCUUGUUUCUGUCCUUGAAAUGUGUAUAUAAAAUACAUUUUCCUCUGUACUUAGGAAUCAAGUUAUGUGUGGGAAGGAAGGCUAAAAUUUUGCCCUUUUCUUUGUUCUUGAAUAGUUAAAUUGUUUUUUUUUCUGUAGAAGAGUAAGUCAAAGGAAAAUAUUAGAGAUUAAAAACUGUCUCUACCUUGUAAGACUGUUGAGAGAACUAAAUGAACAUGUGCAUGGAAAUUUGAGUGUAAUUGUGUCUAGUUGCAUUUGCUGCUCUUAGAGAGACCCUUAAGUAUUGCCUUGUUACAAAUAAGUUUGCUGUUCUUUUACGCAGUUGAUACACUAAAGAAAAUUGACAUUCCGUCUGUCUUUAUUGGUGAAUCAUCAGCUAAUUCCCUGAAAGAUGAAUUCACAUAUGAAAAAGGGGGCCACAUUAUCUUAGUUCCAGAACUGAGUCUUCCUUUGGAGUACUAUCUGAUCCCCUUCCUCAUCAUAGUGGGCAUCUGCCUCAUCUUAAUAGUCAUUUUCAUGAUCACAAAAUUUGUUCAGGACAGACAUAGAAACAGAAGAAAUAGACUUCGUAAAGAUCAACUUAAAAAACUUCCCGUACAUAAAUUUAAAAAGGGAGAUGAGUACGAUGUGUGUGCUAUCUGUCUGGAGGAGUAUGAAGACGGAGAUAAGCUAAGGAUCCUCCCCUGCUCCCAUGCUUAUCAUUGCAAGUGUGUAGAUCCCUGGCUAACUAAAACCAAAAAGACCUGUCCAGUCUGCAAACAAAAGGUUGUUCCUUCCCAAGGUGACUCGGACUCUGACACAGACAGCAGUCAGGAAGAAAACCAAGUGUCAGAGCACACCCCUUUACUUCCACCCUCAGCUUCUGCCAGGACCCAGUCAUUUGGGUCUCUGUCAGAAUCCCACUCACAUCACAACAUGACAGAGUCUUCAGACUACGAGGACGACGACAAUGAAGAGACCGACAGCAGUGACGCAGACAACGAAAUUACCGACCACAGUGUUGUGGUCCAGCUGCAGCCGAACGGUGAGCAGGAUUACAACAUAGCAAAUACUGUGUGACUUUCCGGUGGUUGGUUGACUUCCCUUAUAAUGUUUAUUUGCGCAUAUGAUUUGAUUUUUUGCUCCUUUUAGAAGUUUCUGUAGAAAUAACUUAUUUUUUAGUUUUCUAGUGUAAUCAAGUUCCUGAAACAGGCUAUUUGAUCUCUGAUACUUAUCUCCAAUAGUAUACAGCCACUUCACUAACAAAGUAACAGAUUGGUGCUGUAACUCAGGCAUCAAAUUAGCUCUCUGGGGAUGACAAAAUGUAGCCAGGACACUUUAAAAAUCCUCAGUAUAGCUUGAAAUGAAGACCUAGAUCACAGUCUGCAAAUGUCUUACACAUGAAGUCUGCUAUGGUCAUCUAGCAUGAGCUAAAACAACUCUCACUUUCAUAAAAGUUGCCUAGUGUGGUUGGGUUGGUACAAGUCUCUUCUGAUAGUCCCUCUAUGUUAUGAUUAAUGAGUGGCAACAGGCAGUUUAGGAUUUUUCUUCAUAAUACCACAGAGAAACUUAUGUCUUCUUCCUUUCUAUUCCCAAGUAGUUUUUCCUCAUAGGAAAGGUCUAGUGUAGACUUCAAAUACUUUAAGGUUUUCAAAACCACUAUAGUGUUAUGAGUUUGAUUCCACGGGAAUGUCUCUGGACCUUACUUUCCAUAUUUCAGUAUCCUUUUGUGUUGUGAUUUUAAAAAAUGUUGCAUAAAAAUACCAAAUUUCAGCAACUGUUAAUAUUGAGAUCACAUACCUCUUCAUAAAGAGCAUCUUAUGCUAAUUAGCCCUGCUGAACCAUGUGCAGAGGAAAUUGUUCAAGUAUUGGAUUUGAAAAUAAGUGCUUUUGUUUAAUAGACCUAAUGUAUUGAGGCAAUGUAUUAUGAAAAGCAAAAUUAUAUAACUCUGUAACUAUGUAGAAAAUAUACUUAAAUAUAAUCAGAAUGCUAAGACUUUUUAUAUGGCCUUGUAUGAUGAGAGCUUCAAUGUUAAUAAAUGUUUUCCACUUUAAAAGCCACCAAGUAUUGUUCUGGUGAACUCUUACAUUAACCUUAUAUGCAGGGUGCUAUAAAGGAGAAUGAUGGAGUCAUACACCACCUUAAGAUGUGAUACAAGGUUACUUACUAAUUACUUACAAGCAGUCAGGUUUAUCCACCAAAGUUAGCACUGUAGCCAAAAUCAUCUCCUAAAUAGUGUGAAUUAGGGAAUUUGGUUGUAAAUUGUGACACAUUCUUUACAGUAGAUGCAUUUAGUGACUUAGUGACGUGGAAAAUUGAAUAAAAUCAUGUAGUAGAAUAAGUAUAUCACUUAUAUGAGCAUUUCAUUAUCUUUUUAAAAUGCUGUAUUUUAAGAGAAAUAUAACACUAGGAAAAGAAAUUUUAAUUUUGAAUUGUUUCUUUUAAAAAUUUAUACUCAGAUUGUUUCUUUGUUGAGUUUUUUGUUUGUUUGCUUGUUUGGUUUGUCAGUUGGUUUGGUUCGGUUUAUUGAGCCAAGGUUUCUCUAUGUAGCCCUGGCUGUCCUGGAAGUCAUUCUGAAGACCAGGCUGGCCUCAAACUCAAGAAAUCCUCCUGUGUCUGCCUCCUGAGUGCUGGGAUUAAAGACCUGCACUACC